GUAAUACUCUCUCCGAUCCAUAUUACUUGUCAAAUAUUACAUGUAUCUAGACGUUUUUUAAAUAUAAAUACAUUCGUAUUUGAGCAAAUUUGAGACAAGUAAUAUGGGUUGGAGGGAGUGGUAA
rnacentral:pre_miRNA from 1 species